rnacentral:tRNA from 1 species
GCAUCAUUGGUCUAGUGGUAGAAUCCAUCGUUGCCAUAAUUCACUUCGCGGUAAAUCGGGAGUCAUGUGACUCGAUGGGGCCCGUGUUCGAUUCACGGAUGAUGCA